GAUGAACGCUGGCGGCGUGCUUAACACAUGCAAGUCGAACGGUGAAGGAGAGCUUGCUCUUUGGAUCAGUGGCGAACGGGUGAGUAACACGUGAGCAACCUGCCCCGGACUCUGGGAUAAGCGCUGGAAACGGCGUCCAAUACUGGAUAUGAGACACCACCGCAUGGUGAGUGUUUGGAAAGAUUUUUCGGUCUGGGAUG
rnacentral:rRNA from 1 species